AGUGAGUAUGGAUCGAUCAGUAGAAAGAUGGAAGCCAUAGGAAACCUUCCUAGGCUAGGUGCACGCAAGUGAGUAUGGAUCGAUCAGUAGAAAGAUGGGAAGCCAUAGGAAACCUCCUAGGCUAGGUGCACGCAAGUGAGUAUGGAUCGAUCAGUAGAAAGAUGGGAAGCCAUAGGAAACCUUCCUAGGCUAGGUGCACGCAAGUGAGUAUGGAUCGAUCAGUAGAAAGAUGGGAAGCCCAAGGAAACCUUCCUAGGCUAGGUGCACGCAAGUGAGUAUGGAUCGAUCAGUAGAAAGAUGGGAAGCCCAAGGAAACCUUCCUAGGCUAGGUGCACGCAAGUGAGUAUGGAUCGAUCAGUAGAAAGAUGGGAAGCCAUAGGAAACCUUCCUAGGCUAGGUGCACGCAAGUGAGUAUGGAUCGAUCAGUAGAAAGAUGGGAAGCCCAAGGAAACCUUCCUAGGCUAGGUGCACGCAAGUGAGUAUGGAUCGAUCAGUAGAAAGAUGGGAAGCCAUAGGAAACCUUCCUAGGCUAGGUGCACGCAAGUGAGUAUGGAUCGAUCAGUAGAAAGAUGGGAAGCCAUAGGAAACCUUCCUAGGCUAGGUGCACGCAAGUGAGUAUGGAUCGAUCAGUAGAAAGAUGGGAAGCCAUAGGAAACCUUCCUAGGCUAGGUGCACGCAAGUGAGUAUGGAUCGAUCAGUAGAAAGAUGGGAAGCCAUAGGAAACCUUCCUAGGCUAGGUGCACGCAAGUGAGUAUGGAUCGAUCAGUAGAAAGAUGGGAAGCCAUAGGAAAACCUUCCUAGGCUAGGUGCACGCAAGUGAGUAUGGAUCGAUCAGUAGAAAGAUGGGAAGCCCAAGGAAACCUUCCUAGGCUAGGUGCACGCAAGUGAGUAUGGAUCGAUCAGUAGAAAGAUGGGAAGCCCAAGGAAAACCUUCCUAGGCUAGGUGCACGCAAGUGAGUAUGGAUCGAUCAGUAGAAAGAUGGGAAGCCCAAGGAAACCUUCCUAGGCUAGGUGCACGCAAGUGAGUAUGGAUCGAUCAGUAGAAAGAUGGGAAGCCAUAGGAAACCUUCCUAGGCUAGGUGCACGCAAGUGAGUAUGGAUCGAUCAGUAGAAAGAUGGGAAGCCAUAGGAAACCUUCCUAGGCUAGGUGCACGCAAGUGAGUAUGGAUCGAUCAGUAGAAAGAUGGGAAGCCAUAGGAAACCUUCCUAGGCUAGGUGCACGCAAGUGAGUAUGGAUCGAUCAGUAGAAAGAUGGGAAGCCAUAGGAAACCUUCCUAGGCUAGGUGCACGCAAGUGAGUAUGGAUCGAUCAGUAGAAAGAUGGAAGCCAUAGGAAACCUUCCUAGGCUAGGUGCACGCAAGUGAGUAUGGAUCGAUCAGUAGAAAGAUGGGAAGCCCAAGGAAACCUUCCUAGGCUAGGUGCACGCAAGUGAGUAUGGAUCGAUCAGUAGAAAGAUGGGAAGCCCAAGGAAACCUUCCUAGGCUAGGUGCACGCAAGUGAGUAUGGAUCGAUCAGUAGAAAGAUGGGAAGCCCAGGAAACCUUCCUAGGCUAGGUGCACGCAAGUGAGUAUGGAUCGAUCAGUAGAAAGAUGGGAAGCCAUAGGAAACCUUCCUAGGCUAGGUGCACGCAAGUGAGUAUGGAUCGAUCAGUAGAAAGAUUGGAAGCCAUAGGAAACCUUCCUAGGCUAGGUGCACGCAAGUGAGUAUGGAUCGAUCAGUAGAAAGAUGGGAAGCCAUAGGAAACCUUCCUAGGCUAGGUGCACGCAAGUGAGUAUGGAUCGAUCAGUAGAAAGAUGGGAAGCCAUAGGAAACCUUCCUAGGCUAGGUGCACGCAAGUGAGUAUGGAUCGAUCAGUAGAAAGAUGGGAAGCCCAAGGAAACCUUCCUAGGCUAGGUGCACGCAAGUGAGUAUGGAUCGAUCAGUAGAAAGAUGGGAAGCCCAAGGAAACCUUCCUAGGCUAGGUGCACGCAAGUGAGUAUGGAUCGAUCAGUAGAAAGAUGGGAAGCCAUAGGAAACCUUCCUAGGCUAGGUGCACGCAAGUGAGUAUGGAUCGAUCAGUAGAAAGAUGGGAAGCCCAAGGAAACCUUCCUAGGCUAGGUGCACGCAAGUGAGUAUGGAUCGAUCAGUAGAAAGAUGGGAAGCCAUAGGAAACCUUCCUAGGCUAGGUGCACGCAAGUGAGUAUGGAUCGAUCAGUAGAAAGAUGGGAAGCCCAAGGAAACCUUCCUAGGCUAGGUGCACGCAAGUGAGUAUGGAUCGAUCAGUAGAAAGAUGGGAAGCCAUAGGAAACCUUCCUAGGCUAGGUGCACGCAAGUGAGUAUGGAUCGAUCAGUAGAAAGAUGGGAAGCCAUAGGAAACCUUCCUAGGCUAGGUGCACGCAAGUGAGUAUGGAUCGAUCAGUAGAAAGAUGGGAAGCCCAAGGAAACCUUCCUAGGCUAGGUGCACGCAAGUGAGUAUGGAUCGAUCAGUAGAAAGAUGGGAAGCCCAUAGGAAACCUUCCUAGGCUAGGUGCACGCAAGUGAGUAUGGAUCGAUCAGUAGAAAGUGGGAAGCCCAGUACCAAAUGCCCUAGUGAAGACCGUAAACGAAUAUCAUGAACCGAGAAGGAGCACCAAAUGCCCUAGUGAAGACCGUAAACGAAUAUCAUGAACCGAUAAGGAGCACCAAAUGCCCUAGUGAAGACCGUAAACGAAUAUCAUGAACCGAUAAGGAGCACCAAAUGCCCUAGUGAAGACCGUAAACGAAUAUCAUGAACCGAGAAGUAGCAACGAAUGCCUGAAAAAGUACCAAGUCCUCGGUAUAGAGUAACGAGAGUUAA